rnacentral:rRNA from 1 species
CCUACGGGAGGCAGCAGUGAGGAAUAUUGGUCAAUGGGCGGGAGCCUGAACCAGCCAAGUCGCGUGAGGGAAGACGGUCCUAUGGAUUGUAAACCUCUUUAGGCGGGGAGCAAUGCCGGGCACGCGUGCCCGGAGGGAGAGUACCCGCAGAAUAAGCAUCGGCUAACUCCGUGCCAGCAGCCGCGGUAAUACGGAGGAUGCGAGCGUUAUCCGGAGUUAUUGGGUUUAAAGGGUGCGUAGGCGGAUUUUUAAGUCAGCGGUAAAAUGUCCGGGCUCAACCCGGGCCGGCCGUUGAAACUGGGGAUCUUGAGUGGGCGAGAAGUAUGCGGAAUGCGUGGUGUAGCGGUGAAAUGCAUAGAUAUCACGCAGAACUCCGAUUGCGAAGGCAGCAUACCGGCGCCCGAGUGACGCUGAGGCACGAAAGCGUGGGGAUCGAACAGGAUUAGAUACCCCUGUAGUC